rnacentral:rRNA from 1 species
CCUACGGGCGACAGCAGUGAGGAAUAUUGGUCAAUGGGCGCGAGCCUGAACCAGCCAAGUCGCGUGAGGGAGGACGGCCCUACGGGUUGUAAACCUCUUUUGCCGGGGAGCAACGGGCGCCACGUGUGGCGUCACUGAGAGUACCCGGAGAAAAGGCAUCGGCUAACUCCGUGCCAGCAGCCGCGGUAAUACGGAGGAUGCGAGCGUUAUCCGGAUUUAUUGGGUUAAAGGGGUGCGUAGGCGGAUCGUUAAGUCGUUGGUCAAAUUGAGGGGCUCAACCCCUUCCCGCCAUUGAAACUGGCGUUCUUGAGUGGAAGAGAGGUAUGCGGAAUGCGUGGUGUAGCGGUGAAAUGCAUAGAUAUCACGCAGAACCCCGAUUGCGAAGGCAGCAUGCCGGCUUCCGACUGACGCUGAAGCACGAAAGCGUGGGGAUCGAACAGGAUUAGAUACCCGGGUAGUC